UACGUAGGGUGCAAGCGUUAAUCGGAAUUACUGGGCGUAAAGCGUGCGCAGGCGGUUGUGCAAGACAGAUGUGAAAUCCCCGGGCUCAACCUGGGAACUGCAUUUGUGACUGCACAGCUUGAGUGCGGCAGAGGGGGAUGGAAUUCCGCGUGUAGCAGUGAAAUGCGUAGAUAUGCGGAGGAACACCGAUGGCGAAGGCAAUCCCCUGGGCCUGCACUGACGCUCAUGCACGAAGGCGUGGGGAGCAAACAGG
rnacentral:rRNA from 1 species